rnacentral:lncRNA from 1 species
CGUACAAUUGGUCAUCAAUGCUUGUUCAUGUAAGUCAAUGCUAUCAUGGUAGGAGAUUAGGCCGGAGCCUGUCGUCGCGGAGUCGCCAUCAUUUGUAGGCAUGCGGAUUUGCCGUGAGAGACUCGAUGUCCGUAGGCGACGGAAACCAUACGCUUUAAUUGUUGAGUAAGCCCAGGGGCCUGCAAGGGCCAUGCGCUUUGACUGUUGAGUGAACCGGGUGUCUGCACGACCCUUACACAUUAAUUGUCUGCACG